CACGUAGGGCGCAAGCGUUUGUCCGGAAUUAUUGGGCGUAAAGAGCUCGUAGGCGGUCUGUUGCGUCCGCUGUGAAAACUCGGGGCUUAACCCCGAGCCUGCAGUGGAUACGGGCAGACUAGAGGUAGGUAGGGGAGAAUGGAAUUCCCGGUGUAGCGGUGAAAUGCGCAGAUAUCGGGAGGAACACCGGUGGCGAAGGCGGUUCUCUGGGCCUUACCUGACGCUGAGGAGCGAAAGCGUGGGGAGCGAACAGG
rnacentral:rRNA from 1 species